rnacentral:pre_miRNA from 8 species
CACGGCUUAGUUGCUGGUAAAACGGAACCAAGUCGGGUGUUUGCGAGAGGUUUGGUCCCUUUCAACCAGCUACUGCGCCGUGAAU